rnacentral:rRNA from 1 species
UACGAAGGGGGGCUAGCGUUGCUCGGAAUCACUGGGCGUAAAGGGUGCGUAGGCGGGUUCUUAAGUCAGAGGUGAAAUCCUGGAGCUCAACUCCAGAACUGCCUUUGAUACUGAGAGUCUUGAGUAUGACAGAGGUGAGUGGAACUGCGAGUGUAGAGGUGAAAUUCGUAGAUAUUCGCAAGAACACCAGUGGCGAAGGCGGCUCACUGGGUCAUUACUGACGCUGAGGCACGAAAGCGUGGGGAGCAAACAGG